GGUUAUUUGUUUUGGAUUUUUCCUUCACUUGAUUUGAGACUUAGUAAAAUAACUUGGAUCUGAGUACGAAUGGCUCACCAUGAGACAUAAGCCAGGGUGUGAGUGGUACCAUGAACUCGUAUAAUGGACUGCAUUCAAACCUCUUAUGAUUCUAUUCUACCAAAGGUACGAGUCAAGGGUACUAGUCGUAUGCUUAGGUAUGACUUAGUUUGGGUG
rnacentral:lncRNA from 1 species